UCAGGAGAGGAGAGGAGAGUCCAAAGGCAAUGAGAAAGACUGGAGGGAGAGAGACCGGCUUCCUUCCUUGGCCAGAAAGCCUCUUAAGCAACUCUGAACUUGAGAGAUUCAUUCCUGGAGUUUGGGAGCUGAGCCCUAUGAUGAAUAAAGUCCAGAAGAUCACAUGACUAGCCAAAGGUCACAGAAAUAAUAAAUAGCAAACUGAGGUUUUGAACUCGGGUUCU
rnacentral:lncRNA from 1 species